AUCUUUGAAUACAGAAGGGAUGCACACUCAGCCACACGCAUCGAUACCGGACAGAGCCUCAGGGUCUAUCAUCUUGUCUGCUAGAUCCUCCCACUGAGCACAGGAAAGUUUGGGGUUAAGCAAAACCGACUUUUAGUAAUCACCAACUCAGUAUCCAGGACAUCGUGGGGAUUGGUGUGAUGCUGCUGGAUUUCACAACAGUGACGUAAAAUAAAUAAUUAACUUAGUAUAGCACCUGCCGUAAAGUUACUGCUCAAGAAAUAUGACUCUAUUUUUUACUGAUUACCCUGUAAAAUACCAUAACCAUUUUGACAUAGUGAUUAUGAAAAACAGAAGUUUGAUUUUAAUGAACAACUGUUGAGCUUCUUUUUCUCCUAAAUCCUGUGAAGAUAUUUUUCCCACUUAAAUUUAUUCUACUAUGCUUUGCACUGUGAAACAACACUAAAACAUUGAUGGACUCAAACCAACACAAAGGAACAAAGACAUCUUCGGAGGAGAGAAGGAACAGCAGGCUCAAAUUAAAAAAUACAAAUACUGAACAUUGUUCAUGCAUAAAGAUGCUGAUUUGUUUUUCAAAACUUAUUUUUGUUUCUCCUGUAAUCUUACAUUAGCAUUUUCUUGUAGAUUUGUAUUUCUGUAAAUGUAUAAUAGUAAUAUAACUUUUAUACAAUAGGGGUAUAUGGAAA